rnacentral:rRNA from 1 species
GACGAACGCUGGCGGCGUGCUUAACACAUGCAAGUCGAACGGAAAGGCGCUGCUUUUGUGGGGUGCUCGAGUGGCGAACGGGUGAGUAACACGUGUGUAACCUGUCCUUGUCUUUGGGAUAACUUCAGGAAACUGGGGCUAAUACCGGAUAGGAGCUCCUGCUGCAUGGUGGGGGUUGGAAAGUUUCGGCGGUUGGGGAUGGACUCGCGGCUUAUCAGCUUGUUGGUGGGGUAGUGGCUUACCAAGUCUUUGACGGGUAGCCGGCCUGAGAGGGUGACCGGCGUCAUUGCGACUGAGAGACGGACCAGACGCCAACGGGACGCAGCAGUGGGGAAUAUUGCACAAUGGGCGGAAGCCAGAUGCAGCAACGCCGCGUGCGUAAUGACGGCCUUCGGGUUGUAAACCGCUUUCGCCGGAGACGAAGCGUUAGUGACGGUAAUGGGUAAAGAAGCACCGGCUAACUACGUG